rnacentral:snoRNA from 1 species
ACUUGGCCCUAGGGGCAUUGCAGGUGUGGCUGCUGUGUCAUACAUGUGUCAGUAGGUGAAGAGAGGAGAGAGGCUAUGUCUACAUUCAGUGUUCUAACCUGUGAACACCUGAAUAAUUGAUAGCCUAACAUU